GACGAACGCUGGCGGCGUGCUUAACACAUGCAAGUCGAACGGAAAGGCCCUGCUUUUGUGGGGUGCUCGAGUGGCGAACGGGUGAGUAACACGUGAGUAACCUGCCCUUGACUUUGGGAUAACUUCAGGAAACUGGGGCUAAUACCGGAUAGGAGCUCCUGCUGCAUGGUGGGGGUUGGAAAGUUUCGGCGGUUGGGGAUGGACUCGCGGCUUAUCAGCUUGUUGGUGGGGUAGUGGCUUACCAAGGCUUUGACGGGUAGCCGGCCUGAGAGGGUGACCGGCCACAUUGGGACUGAGAUACGGCCCAGACUCCUACGGGGGGCAGCAGUGGGGAAUAUUGCACAAUGGGCGGAAGCCUGAUGCAGCAACGCCGCGUGCGGGAUGACGGCCUUCGGGUUGUAAACCGCUUUCGCCUGUGACGAAGCGUGAGUGACGGUAAUGGGUAAUGAAGCACCGGCUAACUACGUGCCAGCAGCCGCGGUGAUACGUAGGGUGCGAGCGUUGUCCGGAUUUAUUGGGCGUAAAGGGCUCGUAGGUGGUUGAUCGCGUCGGAAGUGUAAUCUUGGGGCUUAACCCUGAGCGUGCUUUCGAUACGGGUUGACUUGAGGAAGGUAGGGGAGAAUGGAAUUCCUGGUGGAGCGGUGGAAUGCGCAGAUAUCAGGAGGAACACCAGUGGCGAAGGCGGUUCUCUGGGCCUUUCCUGACGCUGAGGAGCGAAAGCGUGGGGAGCGAACAGGCUUAGAUACCCUGGUAGUCCACGCUGUAAACGGUGGGUACUAGGUGUGGGGUCCAUUCCACGGGUUCCGUGCCGUAGCUAACGCUUUAAGUACCCCGCCUGGGGAGUACGGCCGCAAGGCUAAAACUCAAAGGAAUUGACGGGGCCCCGCACAAGCGGCGGAGCAUGCGGAUUAAUUCGAUGCAACGCGUAGAACCUUACCUGGGUUUGACAUGGAUCGGGAGUGCUCAGAGAUGGGUGUGCCUCUUUUGGGGUCGGUUCACAGGUGGUGCAUGGCUGUCGUCAGCUCGUGUCGUGAGAUGUUGGGUUAAGUCCCGCAACGAGCGCAACCCUUGUUCACUGUUGCCAGCACGUUAUGGUGGGGACUCAGUGGAGACCGCCGGGGUCAACUCGGAGGAAGGUGGGGAUGACGUCAAGUCAUCAUGCCCCUUAUGUCCAGGGCUUCACGCAUGCUACAAUGGCUGGUACAGAGAGUGGCGAGCCUGUGAGGGUGAGCGAAUCUCGGAAAGCCGGUCUCAGUUCGGAUUGGGGUCUGCAACUCGACCUCAUGAAGUCGGAGUCGCUAGUAAUCGCAGAUCAGCAACGCUGCGGUGAAUACGUUCCCGGGGCU
rnacentral:rRNA from 1 species